ACAGGGAUUGCCCUAGUAACGGCGAGUGAAGCGGCAACAGCUCAAAUUUGAAAUCUGGCGUCUUCGGCGUCCGAGUUGUAAUUUGCAGAGGGCGCUUUGGCAUUGGCAGCGGUCCAAGUUCCUUGGAACAGGACGUCACAGAGGGUGAGAAUCCCGUACGUGGUCGCUAGCCUUUACCGUGUAAAGCCCCUUCGACGAGUCGAGUUGUUUGGGAAUGCAGCUCUAAAUGGGAGGUAAAUUUCUUCUAAAGCUAAAUACUGGCCAGAGACCGAUAGCGCACAAGUAGAGUGAUCGAAAGAUGAAAAGCACUUUGGAAAGAGAGUUAAAAAGCACGUGAAAUUGUUGAAAGGGAAGCGCUUGCAGCCAGACUUGCCUGUAGUUGCUCAUCCGGGUUUCUACCCGGUGCACUCUUCUACGGGCAGGCCAGCAUCAGUUUGGGCGGUUGGAUAAAGGUCUCUGUCAUGUGCCUCCUUUCGGGGAGAACUUAUAGGGGAGACGACAUGCAACCAGCCCGGACUGAGGUCCGCGCAUCUGCUAGGAUGCUGGCGUAAUGGCUGUAAGCGGCCCGUCUUGAAACACGGACCAAGGAGUCUAACAUCUAUGCGAGUGUUUGGGUGUCAAGCCCGAGCGCGUAAUGAAAGUGAACGGAGGUGGGAACCUUUCGGGGUGCACCAUCGACCGAUCCUGAUGUCUUCGGAUGGAUUUGAGUAAGAGCAUAGCUGUUGGGACCCGAAAGAUGGUGAACUAUGCUUGAAUAGGGUGAAGCCAGAGGAAACUCUGGUGGAGGCUCGCAGCGGUUCUGACGUGCAAAUCGAUCGUCAAAUUUGGGCAUAGGGGCGAAAGACUAAUCGAACUAUCUAGUAGCUGGUUCCUGCCGAAGUUUCCCUCAGGAUAGCAGUAACGUUUUCAGUUUUAUGAGGUAAAGCGAAUGAUUAGAGGCCUGGGGGUUGAAACAACCUU
rnacentral:rRNA from 1 species